rnacentral:lncRNA from 1 species
AUGGACUUGACCUGGAUGUUGAUGCCAGGUGACCCAGUGGUAUGUGUGGGCCAGAUCGCUUCCGAAAAAACUAGGAAGGACUUGGGGCCUGGGGCUCCCAGAGACUUUGCUCAGUGUCCUCAGACUGUCCCUGGAACUGGGAGUCUAAAUUCACCUCUGAUCCUUUCUGAUUCUCUGGUUCUCUUUGGGUGCGGAUACCACAUGCCUCCCUACCAGCCUGUGACUGAUGGGGAGUGGGUACCGGGCCCCCUCGCUCUGGGACAGGGGGUAGAAGUCUACCUCCAACAGGUUACUAUCUUUUUCUGCAGUUUCCAGGAUGAGUAUGGAGACAAACAAGGCAUGAGGCACCCUGGAGAAAUCGUGUGUCCAUCAGCAUCUCUCUUCGGCCCAUUCUGGCUCCAGGAGCUGGAUGGUGGAGCCAGAUGAUGGAGCCAGGAUUGGGCAACAACAUACAUUCGAGGCAUCCACCUUUCCUGGUGAGUUCAUCUUGGUUUUGUAUCUGCUGUUCUUUUAUUUCUUCUCCUUAUUCAUAUUUUGACCAUGUUUUAUACCUACCAUCAAAAAAUAGAUGUUCCCAUUGUGGCUCAGUGUGUUACGGACUCAAUUAGUAUCCAUGAGGAUGUGGGUUCAAUCCCUGACCUCGAUCAGUGGGUUAAGGAUCUGGCAUUGCUGUGGUGUAGGCCGGCAGUUGCAGCUCAGAUUCAACCCCUAGCCUGAGAACUUCCAUAUGCCACAAGUGUGGCCCUAAAAAACAGCAAAAAAACCAAAAAAAACAAAACAAAAAAAGGAUUGUCUCCCAAACAUUAGUUCUUGUGAUUCCUUAGCUCUCAGGGAUGUAGACAUGUCUGCAUUUGAUGGGGUUUUCUUUACCUUCCCUCCAAGUUCAGUACAUGCUUUGUAGUCUUAAUGAAUCACCUUUCGCCGUCUAUGGAGGUUAUUUCCCCCCUAAUUUAAAGAAAGGAUCUGCCAGUGGAACAACCUAAAUGAACUGAAAUGCCCCUGCCGAGUGCGCUUGCCCGGAGGACAGGCUCGUCGUUGAUAGACUUUAAUCAGAUCCCUCUUCUCCGUUCCCAGGAAAUCCUCCUUCAGUGAACUUCUCCUAACCCUGUCUCUGGGGUGUCACCCGGCCGUAAGGCCAGCGGGGGAGUCGUUUUUGGAAGGCCGCAUGGGGAACAGCUUUGGUGAAGUGUCUUUUCCUCUCCAAGAAAGAUCACAGGAAAACCUUUUGCUCAGAAUAAGCAUUUUGGAAGGGUGCUUGGCAGGCUUUGGCCCUUCAGUGGGGGCAGCACCCUCCCGGGGAGCUGGGGUGUCAGCAGCAGCGGGAGCAGCAACCUCAGCCUUGGGGGGCCCAAGCCACUCCUUCUAGCCCCCUCCCCUGUUAAGGAAUGUCCACCUUCCCUCGGACCCAGGUGUGGGUUUGUCUUUU